ACCUUAUAGACCAACUAAGUUGUUCUGGUAUAAGCUUUUGUGUGCAGGUAUCUGAAGGCAUCUGAAGACGUGUGUAUGCACACAAAAGCUUAUACCAGAAAAAACUUAGUUGGUCUAUAAGGU